rnacentral:rRNA from 1 species
AUUGAACGCUGGCGGCAGGCCUAACACAUGCAAGUCGAACGAGUGGCGGACGGGUGAGUAAUGUCUGGGAAACUGCCUGAUGGAGGGGGAUAACUACUGGAAACGGUAGCUAAUACCGCAUACCAUCGGAUGUGCCCACAGGGGAUUAGCUAGUAGGUGGGGUAAAGGCUCACCUAGGCGACGAUCCCUAGCUGGUCUGAGAGGAUGACCGGCCACACUGGGACUGAGACACGGUCCAGACUCCUACGGGAGGCAGCAGUAGGGAAUAUUGCGCAAUGGGCGCAAGUCUGAUGGAGCCAUGCCGCGUGAAUGAAGAAGGCCUUCGGAUUGUAAAGUACUGUCGGCGGGGAGGCGUUACCCGCAGAGGAAGCACCGGCUAACUCCGUGCCAGCAGCCGCGGUAAUUC